UGCAGUGGAACUGAAUAAACUUUCUCAAAAGAAGGCAUACAAACGGCCAACUGCUGCAUGAAAAGGUGCUCAACUUCAUUAAUCAUCAGGGAAAUGCAAAUCAAAACCACA